GUCCACGCCGUAACGAUGUCUACUAGCCGUUGGGUCCUUGAGACUUUAGUGGCGCAGCUAACGCACUAAGUAGACCGCCUGGGAGUACGGUCGCAAGAUUAAACUCAAAUGAAUUGACGGGCCCGCACAAGCGGUGGAGCAUGUGGUUAAUUCGAAGCAACGCGAAGAACCUUACCAGGUCUUGACAUCCUCGGAACUUAGCAGAGAUGCUUUGGUGCCUUCGGGAACCGAGAGACAGGUGCUGCAUGGCUGUCGU
rnacentral:rRNA from 1 species